CAGUCCUGGGACCAAGGCCCAAAGUGAGAACAUGAAUUCUUGUUUUCCCACUUGAAUGCUGUUUUUGGCCUGCCCUUCCCCCAUCCUGUACCCAUAAAAACUCCAGGCUCCAUUGGCAGAGUGGUGGGGUGGCAGAGAAGAAGAGAAGAGAAAAAGCCAGAUGUCAGAGAGAGAAGCAGCUUGACUUCAGGGGGACAGCUUGACGAACGUAUAGAUAAAGUGAAAGACUGCUCCUAGAGAGAAGCAAUUGUGCCUGGUAAUAUAUACACAUGCUACAAAGUAUAAAAGGCACGAGAACAUGAGAAAUCAUUCUCAGUCUUAUGUCUGUAUCACGGCCAUCCUGUUUGCUACCCACAGGGUCUUUAAUGGUGUUGAACAGGUGUCAUCCUGUUUUAUAUAUCAGAGUAUUCUACAUCAAAAGGAGACUUAAGUGAUUGAGAAAAACACAGUGGAAUCCGGAAAGAAUGACACCUGAAACAAAGAUGAUUAAUGAGUUACCUCAUCGUUAUUUACACCCGGAGGACACAAGGAUGGUACUGUUGCUCUG